GAUGAACGCUGGCGGCGUGCCUAACACAUGCAAGUCGAACGGACUUAAGACGCUGAUGAGGCUUCGGCGGAUUCUUGUUUUAAGUUAGUGGCGGACGGGUGAGUAACGCGUGGGCAACCUGCCUCAUACUGGGGGAUAGCAGUUGGAAACGACUGAUAAUACCGCAUAAGCGCACAGAGUCGCAUGACUCAGUGUGAAAAACUCCGGUGGUAUGAGAUGGGCCCGCGUCAGAUUAGCUAGUUGGUAAGGUAACGGCUUACCAAGGCGACGAUCUGUAGCCGGACUGAGAGGUCGGACGGCCACAUUGGGACUGAGACACGGCCCAAACUCCUACGGGAGGCAGCAGUGGGGGAUAUUGCACAAUGGAGGAAACUCUGAUGCAGCGACGCCGCGUGUAUGAGAGAGUAUUUCGGUAUGUAAAGCUCUAUCAGCAGGGAAGAAAGACUCGCAAGAGAGAUGACGU
rnacentral:rRNA from 1 species